UGCGCCAAAUGUACUGUAGAGUAAUGUUUAAAAUAAAAAAUGAAGAACCGUAACAUGUAAUGUGCCCUGUGAAUACCAGUUAUUUUUGCAAAAUCAAAACCUCAAACUACUAUCUACAUCUUCAAUAGCCUAUCUGUUUUAAGUUUUGCACAAAAUUCAUAUUUUUCAAUCGAUAUUCUUUCUUUUGCUGUUAUGGGUGUAAAAGUGGUGAUUCCAGCUCUUAGUGAGGAAAUAAUAGCUGGUCAUUUCCAUCCUGUGAGACAUUCAGAAUUUGUUGUUGAGGAUUACCUUUGGAAAACAUACACAGAUGUAGGAAGAUAUAUCUUUGAACAUUAUUGCUAUUUUUCUGAUGAAAUGAAAAGAAUGAAAAAUAAGUGGGAAAACAUGCUGAGAAGUUUGAAAAUCUAUAAAUCUGAGAGAAUCCAGCAUGAAUAAUUUGCUUCACACUGAACCUUUUAUUGAAACUCUAAAUGUUUAUUUCUUGACUAUGGACUAUCUGAAAUACGGUUACUUUCCAAUCUGAAAAGAUAAUUUGCUGAUGGCGAAUAGAUGAGUGCUUUUCUUCUGUUGUAGAUAAAACAUGAAAAAAUGAUCUACUAAUAAAAGUGCAGUCAUUUUACUUUUGGAGUCUGCUCUACAUUGUGAAAGAAAUAUUAUUUAUAAAAAAUUUUUGAGUGAAAAGUUGUAAUAUAUUGCUCACUACAUUUUAUUGUCACUAUUUUUAACUUGUUUCAUAUAGAGGCAAAAUCAAUUACUUUUCCUAUUAUAUGUGUGAUUGUGUAAAAUUCAACUUUCUAUAUUUCUAAAACAUAAACUUAUUUCAUAAAAAUAAAAAUGCUGUGAAGAUAGUUUUAUUAGCGCUACACAAAUGAUUUAAUAAAACAACUUACAAAACCAAAAUAUGUAUUUUAAGUUGCAUUUAUUUAAAAAUUAUUCUAAGUUAUUUUAUUAUUAUUAUUUUUGUAUGUGUAUUAUCAUAACUAAUGAUGUGAAACAAAUCUGUUAUAACUUUAUGGAAAUUGUUGUAUAGUUUUUGUAAAAAUGUAA